rnacentral:rRNA from 1 species
CCAAUAGCGUAUAUUAAAGUUGUUGCAGUUAAAAAGCUCGUAGUUGAAUUUCGGGAUCAAUAUAUCGGUCGUGCCUCCGGUAUGCACUGGUAUUAUUGAUUUCUACCUUCUGACGAACUGUGAUGUCAUUAAUUUGGUGUCAUGGGUAAUCAGGACUGUUACUUUGAAAAAAUUAGAGUGUUUAAAGCAGGCACACGCUUGAAUACAUUAGCAUGGAAUAAUGAAAUAGGACGUUUGACCCUAUUUUGUUGGUUUCUAGGAUCGACGUAAUGAUUAAUAGGGAGAGUUGGGGGCAUUAGUAUUCAAUUGUCAGAGGUGAAAUUCUUGGAUUUAUUGAAGACUAACUACUGCGAAAGCAUUUGCCAAGGAUGUUUUCAUUAAUCAUGAACGAAAGUUAGGGGAUCGAAGACGAUCAGAUACCGUCGUAGUCUUAACCAUAAACUAUGCCGACUAGGGAUCGGACGAUGUUAAUUUUUUAAUGACUCAUUCGGCGCCUUACG